CUGCCGACCGCAUCGCGGCAGUCCGCCACGCACCUUCGACACCACUAGUCGCCUACAGAAAAAAACAACUGUCACCGCGCGACGGAAAAGCGCGCGAAAACAUGCAAACUCUUUACGCGUAAAAAGUUUUUCGUGCCGCCAAUUUUCGCAACCACAGACCAAACAGUGACAUGUUCAGCAAUUUAAUGUGUAUUACAAGUAAUUUAUAGUGCUGUUGUGAUUCAAUUCAAAAGUGGUUCAAACGAUUUCAAAUGAACGGCAGUUUUGACCUCAAAUUUUAUGUAUGAUUUAUUCAAGUCCUUCGACAAACAUAUUUUUGCUCAUGGCAAUUAGAAUGGUGCUGUGUGGUGCAGUGGCGGGCGCGGGCGAAAUGGUCGGGAACGUAAGCCGCGUGCGUCGCUCGCCGCAGCCCUACCAUCACCGCGUGAUGACGGACGAGGAGCUGGACGCGACGGCGGCGUGGAAACGCUCGCACUGGCGCGAGAUGCAGAGCGUCCUCAGGACUGAGGGCGCCAAGAAGGACGUCGUGGAGUGCUGCCCCUCCAUCGGCGAGAUGGUCGCCAAGAAGGGCGGCAGAACCUUCAGCGGCCUCUACGUAGAACUGUACGAGGACGGCGAGAACAAGCAGAGGCUCUACGAGCUCUCUUGCGCUCCCGAAGUCGUCGACAAGCCCUGUCGCUUCGUCGACGCUCGGCUGUACAACCAGUCGAGGUGCGUUCAAAUAUACUCUUACUCGUACGCGUUAGUGCGGUACACGGCCGCCACCGAAAUGCCCCACCAAAAGACUAAAGGACACAUAUCAGUGCCAGGCUCCGGCGGGUGGUCGAUGGACUACGUGAAAGUGCGCGCAGGGUGCGAGUGCCAAAUUACCUCGAAGAGGAACCGAGCCCACAAGAAGAGGGAGCGGCAUCGGCAAAGGAGGAAAAAUAGGAAGCUAGAAGAAGAGGAAGAGACCUGACCACAGGCUCUAGUGCUAGUGAAAUCCAGUGGGACAUUGAACAAAUUUACGUGGAGUCUUCCCGAUUUAGUAUUACCAGACCGAUAGUUCUAGCGUCAGGUUUUUUAUUCAUAGCAACAUCUUUUUCUUAGUUACUUCGCUGUUAACUUCUAUACUAUGUGUAACAUUAUCAGAUGCUAGAUCGAUCAGGUCGCUACGCAUGUUACCGAUGUCAAGCGUGGACUUGUAGGUACUAUCGGUUGAUGUAUUUUACUGUAUUUAUUUUCAAAAAUUGUCUAUUUAAUUACGCUUCUUGUUUUAGUCUUGCGUAGUCGUACUCUUACGGAACUCCGAUACUUUACAGUGCCUCGUGAAACUUAGUGCCUUGGUAUUAUUAAUGUGAAAUCAAGUAUUUUAAAUACGUAAAGUAUGGUUAAUUAUUUAAUAUUUAUUUAAGUGUAUCCAGAUUGUAAUUGUAUAAAAUUGUAAACUGUUACUAGCAUCUGUAUAAGCUCAGUUUAUUAGGAUAAACUUGAUCUAAUUCAUAAUUCAUCACAAUUAAAACAUACCUAUUACCUACCAAGUCAAGAAAUAUUGUUACAAACAUUGUAUUGCAGUAACUGCAAUAGGUACACUGUAGUAAACUGCAAUGCACUUUACCAAUUUGCUUCUAGUGCAAGCUCCAUUAUCACUACAAAUGUUUAUUAGAUCUUGUUUUCAUACUACAACUUUCGUAACACAGUCCAGCAACAUACAGAAUGCUUAUUAAAACAAGCCUAAAAUACGUAUUUAUAAAUAGUUACCCAAAGUGAUCGAGGCGCAAAGCUACCAUCGACUUCACAGCGUUUCUCACUUCACCACGAUGUUUGUGUUAAGCUAGUUACAGACAGUGCUGUGUGUAAGAUUUUGUAUGAGAGAACUUACCACUGCACUUGCUGUUAAAAUAAUCGUAAAAUUUUGUGGUUAUCAUACUUGCCGCUUAUUGUU